GACGUGGCAAGCUGCGAUAAGCUUCGGGGAGCCGCAAGCAGGCGUUGAUCCGAAGAUUUCCGAAUGGGGCAACCCUCCGCCAUUCAUCCGGCGGAACCCUGCGCUGAAUACAUAGGUGCAGGGGGCGAUACGCGGUGAAGUGAAACAUCUCAGUACCCGCAGGUAAUAGAAAUAAACCGAGAUUGCCCUAGUAGCGGCGAGCGAACGGGCAACAGCCCAAAUCCAGGUGGUGUCAUAGCUGACACGCGUUGCCGCUUGGAGGUUGUGGGGUCUUCCCGGAGCCUCGUGUCAGAGGCUCGUUUUGGGAGCGCGGAUACUCGAACGGUCUGGAACGGCCGACCAUAGACGGUGAUAGUCCGGUAGGGAAAAUCCGUGGCGCUCGAAAUGGGGAGGAUACCCGAGUACCAUGAGACACGUGGAACCUCAUGGGAACCUGGGACGACCACGUUCCAAGGCUAAAUACGAGUCGGAACCCGAUAGUGCACCAGUACCGCGAGGGAAAGGUGAAAAGAACCCCGGAAGGGGAGUGAAAUAGAACCUGAAACCGACAGCUUACACAGCAGUCCGAGCUCCGCAAGGAGUGAGGGCGUGCCUUUUGCAUAAUGAUCCGGCGAGUUAUUCGGACAAGCGAGUCUAACCCGCGCAGGCGGGGCAGGCGGAGCGAAAGCGAGUCCUAACCGGGCGUUAGCUUGUUCGAAUAGACCCGAAGCUAGGUGAUCUAUCCAUGGCCAGGGUGAACCCGCCGUAACAGGUGGGGGAGGCCCGCACCCAUCAGUGUUGAAAAACUGUGGGAUGAGCUGUGGUUAGGGGCGAAAGACCAAUCAAACCUAGUGAUAGCUGGUUCUCCCCGAAAUAACUCUAGGGUUAGCCUCGGAGCAUCGUUGGUGGGGGUAGAGCUACUGAAUGGGCUAAGGACCACACCAGGUUGCUGAACCCAAUCAAACUCCGAAUACCAUCAACUACUACUCCGGGAGUCAGCGCGUGAGGGAUAAACUUCACGCACGCGAGGGAAACAACCCAGACCAUCGGCUAAGGUCCCAAAGCAUACGCUAAGUGUUAAAGGAUGUUGAGUUACUAAGACAGCCGGGAUGUUGGCUCAGAGGCAGCCAUCAUUUAAAGAGUGCGUAACAGCUCACCGGUCGAGUGAUUCAGCGCCGAUAAUGAUCGGGGCUCAAGCGUAUUACCGACGCCGUGGAUGCGAUAUUUCUACGGAAGUAUUGCGUGGUAGGGGAGCGUACUGUAGUAGGAUGAAGGCGCAUCGUUAGGUGCGCUGGACGAGGCAGUAGUGAGAAUGUCGGAAUGAGUAGCGAUAAGCACCGCGAGAAACGGUGCCGCCGUAAGCCUAAGGUUUCCUGGGGAAGGUUAAUCCGCCCAGGGUGAGUCGGUCCUAAGCUAAGGCCAUUUGGCGUCAGCGAUGGACAUGCCGUUAAUAUUCGGCUACCGCCGGCAAGGCGUUUGAGAUACGAUGAGGACGCAGGAAGCUAGGCCCUCCGGGCAUUGGACGUCCCGGUCAAGAUGUGUAGCCCGCAAGGGUGAGGCAAAUUGGGAGGUUAGGCCACGGCCGAGCCAAACGGGUUGAUGCUACGCUGCCUAGAAAAUUCAUCGUAUCGAGCUUUGUUGGCGACCGUACCGUAACCCAACACAGGUAGGCAAGGAGAACAUCCUAAGGCGUUCGAGAGAACCUCCGUUAAGGAACUCGGCAAAAUGGCCCCGUAACUUCGGGACAAGGGGUACUCGCUGGGGUGAAGCGUACAGCACAGCCCUGGUGAGUCACAGUAAAGAGGGUCAGCCGACUGUUUAGCAAAAACACAGGUCACUGCGAAGUCUUCAAGACAAUGUAUAGUGACUGACACCUGCCCAAUGCUGGAAGGUCAAGGGGAGGCGUCAAUCCGCGCAAGCGAGAUGAAGCGUCGAACUCAAGCCCCAGUGAAUGGCGGCCGUAACUAUAAACCAACCGUUGUAGUUACGUUAAUAAAUCUGGCUAUAUGCUGGAAAAUCCGGUGACCUCAACGUACUCGUUGCAAUAAGCGACAGUAACAAUCGUUGAGUGCGGACAAUCAGCAGGAAAGACCCAAGGAGGCAAGUAUGCAAGAUACGCCGGAACACAUCGGCUACUAUCUUGCGGGCUUUGCGGAUGGAGAAGGCAGUUUCAACGUUUCCUUCCGGCCACGACCUGAUUAUUCAGUGCCGUGGAAAGUCUCCCUCUGUUUUAAUAUCUCCCAAAAAGAUCGCGUAAUACUUGCACUAUUUAAACGACACCUUGGAUGCGGUACGAUCCGAGGACGCCCAGAUGGUGUUUGGUAUUAUGAGGUUAAUAACCUCAACGCGAUCAUCGAGACGAUCAUUCCGUUCUUCAAGAAGUAUCGAUUUCUUUCUGCAAAGAAGAAGCGAGACUUCGCGAAGUUUUGUCAGAUGGCAAAGCUAAUACAAGACAAUGCGCAUUUGACGAAAGAAGGAAUUGAACAAAUUCUCGAGAUUCGACGGGAGAUGAAUGAUGGAGGAAAUCGCCGUUAUGGCGAGCGUGAGAUUCUAGCCAAAAUCAGGGUAUCCUCAGAGACUAUACGCCAGACAGCAAAUGAAAUUAAGCUAGCUGAUGAUAUAGUCCGACCUGCAUAGCAAUAUGCAGAAUGGGUAGUCAAAUCCCAUCGCUCGAAAGAGCAGUAACAGUACGAACGGUCCUAAGGU
rnacentral:rRNA from 1 species